UACGAAGGGGGCUAGCGUUGUUCGGAAUUACUGGGCGUAGAGCGCACGUAGGCUGAUUGUUAAGUCAGGGGUGAAAUCCCGGAGCUCAACUCCGGAACUGCCUUUGAUACUGGCAAUCUCGAGUCCGGAAGAGGUUAGUGGAACUCUCAGUGUAGGGGUGAAAUUCGUAGAUAUUGAGAAGAACACCAGUGGCGAAGGUGGCUAGCUGGUCCGGUACUGACGCUGAGGUGCGAAAGCGUGGGGAGCAAACAGG
rnacentral:rRNA from 1 species